rnacentral:rRNA from 1 species
UGCGUAGGCGGAUUAAUAAGUCAGUGGUGAAAGCCUGCAGCUUAACUGUAGAACUGCCAUUGAUACUGCUAAUCUUGAAUUCAGUUGAGGUAGGCGGAAUGUGUCAUGUAGCGGUGAAAUGCUUAGAUAUGACACAGAACACCAAUUGCGAAGGCAGCUUGCUAAACUGAUAUUGACGCUGAGGCACGAAAGCGUGGGGAGCGAACAGGAUUAGAUACCCUGGUAGUCC